AGCAGCAGCAUUAGAUUCUCAUAGGAGAACGCACCCUGUUGUGAACCGGGCAUGUGAGGGAUCUAGGUUGCGCUGUCCUUAUGAGAAUCUAAUACCUAUUGAUCUGUCACUUUCUCCCAUCACGCUCAGGUGGGACCAUCCAGUUUCAGGAAAACAAGCUUAACACGCCCACUGAUUCUACAUUAUGCUCCUACCUCCCGGCAACCUCGCCAGGCCCAGAACUCUCUCCAGUCAGCCUCUACAGACCAAGCUCAUGACUCACAAUGGCCUAUUUAGGCCCAUACCCUACCUCACGGCAGUCUCCGCAGAUGAGCCUACUGCCUCACAACAGCCUCCACAGGCACAGCUCCAUCGUUACAAUGGCCUCUUUAGACCCAGCUCCUGCCUCCCAGCCUUCUCUCCAGGCCCUGAAGUUUCUCCGUGGGACCAUCCAGUUUCAGGAAAACAAGCUUAAUACGCCCACUGAUUCUACAUUAUGCUCCUACCUCCCGGCAGCCUCUCCAGGCCCAGAACUUUCUCCAGUCAGCCUCUACAGACCAAGCUCAUGACUCACAAUGGCCUAUUUAGGCCCAUACCCUACCUCAUGGCAGUCUCCGCAGAUGAGCCUACUGCCUCACAACAGCCUCCACAGGCACAGCUCCAUCGUUACAAUGGCCUCUUUAGACCCAGCCCCUGCCUCCCAGCCUUCUCUCCAGGCCCUGAAGUUUCUCCAUAAGUUGAGGCAGCUGGGACUGUAGGGUCUCCCUCUGUUGUCCAAGGCUGGAGGGUAGUAGUGCUAUCGCAGCUGACUGCAGCCUCAACCUUCCAGGCUGAAGCGAUCCUCCCACCUCAACCUCCCACGUGGCUGAGACUACAGGUGCUUGCCACUAUGCCCAACUAAUAUUUGGAAUUUUCGUAUACGUGGAUUCCAGAGGGGUGACAGCGAAACGUGGGACCAUCCAGUUUCAGGAAAACAAGCUUAAUACGCCCACUGAUUCUACAUUAUGAUUCUUCAGGCCCAGCAUCUGCCUCACUGUGGACCCCCCAAGCCAAGCUCCCAACCUUUCAGCAGCUUUUACACACCCAGCUCCCGCCUGCCAGUGGCCUCUUCAGGCCCAUGGGGCUCAUUCCUCACAACAGCCUUUCCAGGCCCAGCUUUUCCCUUCCGGCGGCCUCUCUGGGCUGAGAACCUCCUCAAGUCGGCCUCUCCAGACCCACUUGCACCCUCCGGGCGUCCUCUCUGGGCGAAGCUCCUCUUCCUGGCUGCGUCUCCAGGCCCGACUCCUGCCUCUCAACAACCUCUUUGGACUCAGUGCCUACCCAUCUCCUGGCGUCCUUCGUCGGCCCACAGCUUCCUCAAGCCAAGCUCCCCAGGCCCAGGUCAGGCCUCACGGUGGCCUCUCCACGAUGAGCUCCUGCCCUCCCAUGGCACCUGCAGGCCCCAAAUGGUCUCCGGUCGGUGGGCUCCUCCACGCCAAGCUUGGGCCUCCCGGCGACCUCUGCAGGCCCAAGUUGUCCUGAAGUCGGCAUCUCCCGGCCCUGCCUCCCAGCAAGUAAGCAAGCUCUUUUGGCUCAACUCCUGCCCAGCUCCCAACCGCCUUUGUAGGUCCCGAACUUUCUCCAGCCAAGUUCUUUGGGCCUAAUUCCUGCCGCCCGGUGGCCUGUACGGGCCCAGCAAUGGUUGGAGAACGGCCUCUGCAGGUCCCGCUCUUGCCUCCCAGGGGCCUCUCCAGGCCCAGCUCUUGCCCCCACGGCGGCCUCCCGGGGCCAAGUCCCUGCCUGCCUCCCAGCAGCCCACGUGCGGCCCAGCUCCUCCCUCACGGUGGCCUGUUGAUGCCCAUGCCUCUAGUACCCUGCCCAGAGGCAUGAGCCCCUGCCACACACUGGCUCCUCCCACGCUGAGAGAGGUCAGCGUGAGCCCUUGCCUCACACCGGCCCCUCCCACGCUGAGAGGGGUCAGCGUGAGCCCCUUGCCUCACACCGGCCCCUCCCACGCUGAGAGAGGUCGGCGUGAGCCCUUGCCUCAC